rnacentral:rRNA from 1 species
UACGUAGGGUGCAAGCGUUUGUCCGGAAUUAUUGGGCGUAAAGAGCUCGUAGGCGGUCUGUCGCGUCUGCUGUGAAAACUCAGGGCUUAACCCCUGAGCUUGCAGUGGGGUACGGGCAGACUAGAGUGCGGUAGGGGGAGACUGGAAUUCCUGGUGUAGCGGUGAAAUGCGCAGAUAUCAGGAGGAACACCGGUGGCGAAGGCGGGGUCUCUGGGGCCGUAACUGACGCUGGAGGAGCGAAAGCAUGGGGGAGCGAACAGG